rnacentral:rRNA from 1 species
CAAUAGCGUAUAUUAAAGUUGUUGCAGUUAAAAAGCUCGUAGUUGAAUUUCUGUCAGGAGUGACCGGGCCUUUGGAUGAACUUCCAUUGUUUUUGCUCUGUUUGUCGUCUCUAGACAUCCUAAAUUAUUUUUUAUAAAUAAUUUUCUUUUACUGUUAGCAAAAUAGAGUGUUCCAAGCAAAGCGUAGUUUUGAAUACAUUAGAAUGGAAUAAUAAGAUAGGACUUUGGUGCUAUUUUGUUGGUUUGCACACCAAGGUAAUGAUUAAUAGGGACAGUUGGGGGUAUUCGUAUUUAAUUGUCAGAGGUGAAAUUCUUGGAUUUAUGAAAGACGAACUACUGCGAAAGCAUUUACCAAGGAUGUUUUCAUUAA